rnacentral:RNase_P_RNA from 1 species
AAGCAUAAGAAGAUAGUGACUUGGGGUCAAACUCAAGAGGAAAGUCCGAGCUGCUGUAAGACAAUGUUCCAUUUAACGAAUGGCCGUAGUAAUACGAGGGAAAGUGCAACAGAAAUAUUACUUCCACUUAGUGGUAAAGGUGAAAAGGCGGUGUAAGAGACCACCAGUCUUUAUGGCAACAUAGAGAGCUUGUAAACCCAACAUGGCAGCAAGAAGCAGAUGGUUAGCGUCUUACAAUUGCUAUUGCUUCGCUAGAGACACGAUGUAAAUUGUGUAGUAGAUUAAUGCUAUCGAUACAAAACUCGGCUUAUUCUUAUGCUUUUAA